UACAGAGGUCUCAAGCGUUGUUCGGAUUCAUUGGGCGUAAAGGGUGCGUAGGCGGCGCGGUAAGUCGGGUGUGAAAUUCGAUCGGAGCUUAACUCCGAAACUGCAUUCGAUACUGCCGGUGCUUGAGGACUGGAGAGGAGACUGGAAUUUACGGGUGUAGCGGUGAAAUGCGUAGAUAUCGUAAGGAAGACCAGUGGCGAAGGCGGGUCUCGUGGA
rnacentral:rRNA from 1 species